GAUGAACGCUGGCGGCGUGCUUAACACAUGCAAGUCGAGCGAGAAGUUUUGAAAAGAUUCUUCGGAUGAAAUUUAAAAUGGAAAGCGGCGGACGGGUGAGUAACGCGUAGGCAACCUGCCCCAUACAAAGGGAUAGCAUUUGGAAACGAAUAUUAAUACCUUAUGAAACUUAACUAGUGCAUGCUAGGUAGGUUAAAGAUUUAUCGGUAUGGGAUGGGCCUGCGUCUGAUUAGCUAGUUGGUGAGGUAACGGCUCACCAAGGCGACGAUCAGUAGCCGACCUGAGAGGGUGAACGGCCACAUUGGAACUGAGACACGGUCCAAACUCCUACGGGAGGCAGCAGUGGGGAAUAUUGCACAAUGGGGGAAACACUGAUGCAGCAACGCCGCGUGAACGAUGAAGGCCUUUGGGUCGUAAAGUUCUGUUCUAGGUGAUGAAAACUGACAGUAACCUAGGAGAAAGCCCCGGCUAACUCCGUG
rnacentral:rRNA from 1 species